CAUAGAGAUAUCCGAACCCGGGCGUUGGUUGACCCGGGCGCAAGGGACCGAACAUCAGUAGGGAAGUCGGAGAUGCUCUGUGGCGAGAAAAGCUGUGUGUAUUGAUUAGGCGCCCGUACCGCAAACCGACACAGGUAGAUGAGGAGAGAAUCCUAAGGCCAACGGGAGAAGGGUUGUUAAGGAACUCGGCAAAUUGACCCCGUAACUUCGGGAUAAGGGGAGCCUCCUACGGGAGGCCGCAGUGAAUAGGCCCAAGCAACUGUUUACCAAAAACACAGGUCUCUGCUAAAUCGAAAGAUGACGUAUAGGGGCUGACGCCUGCCCGGUGCCGGAAGGUUAAGAGGAGAGCUUAGCGCAAGCGAAGGUUCGAAUUGAAGCCCCGGUAAACGGCGGCCGUAACUAUAACGGUCCUAAGGUAGCGAAAUUCCUUGUCAGGUAAGUUCUGACCCGCACGAAUGGCGUAAUGAUUUGGGCACUGUCUCAACAGCCCGCCCGGCGAAAUUGUAGUACUGGUGAAGAUGCCAGUUACCCGCAACUAGACGGAAAGACCCCAUGGAGCUUUACUGUAGCCUAAUACUGAAGAUCGGUAAUGCAUGUACAGGAUAGGUGGGAGCCAGCGAAACCCGGGCGUCAGCUCGGAUGGAGGCAACCUUGGAAUACCACCCUUGUAUUGCUGGUUUUCUAACCUGCGGCCAUGAAUCUGGUCGGGGGACACUGUUAGGUGGGCAGUUUGACUGGGGCGGUCGCCUCCAAAAGCGUAACGGAGGCGCUCAAAGGUUGGCUCAGCACGGACGGAAAUCGUGCAUAGAGUGCAAACGCAUAAGCCAACUUGACUGCGAGACCGACGGGUCGAGCAGGUACGAAAGUAGGAGUUAGUGAUCCGGUGGUAUGUGAGUGGAAAUGCCAUCGCUCAACGGAUAAAAGCUACCCUGGGGAUAACAGGCUGAUCUCCCCCAAGCGUCCACAGCGACGGGGAGGUUUGGCACCUUGAUGUCGGCUCGUCACGUCCUGGGGCUGUAUUCGGUCCCAAGGGUUCGGCUGUUCGCCGAUUAAAGUGGCACGCGAACUGGGUUCAGAACGUCGUGAGUCAGUUCGGUCCCUAUCUGUUGCGGGCGCAGGAGAUUUGAAGGGAGCUGUCCUUAGUACGAGAGGACCGGGAUGGACAGACCUCUGGUGCACCAGUUGUCGUGCCAACGGCACAGCUGGGUAGCUACGUCUGGACGAGAUAAACGCUGAAAGCAUCUAAGUGUGAAACUCCCCCUAAGAUAAGAUCUCCCAUCCAUUAGGAGUAAGGGACGACAGAGACUAUGUCGUUGAUAGGUCGGAAGUGUAAGUGCAGUAAUGCAUUGAGCUGACCGAUACUAAUAACCCGAGGGCUUGAGC
rnacentral:rRNA from 1 species